rnacentral:rRNA from 1 species
GAUGAACGCUGGCGGCGCGCCUAAUACAUGCAAGUCGAGCGAACGGACGAGAAGCUUGCUUCUCUGAUGUUAGCGGCGGACGGGUGAGUAACGCGUGGAUAACCUACCUAUAAGACUGGGAUAAUUACGGGAAACCGGAGAUAAUACCAGAUAAUAUUUUGAACCGCAUGGUUCAAAAGUGAAAUACGGUCUUGCUGUCACUUAUAGCUGGUUCCGCGCUGCAUUAGAUAGUUGGUAAGGUAACGGCUUACCAAGGCAACGAUGCAUAGCCGACCUGAGAGGGUGAUCGGCCACACUGGAACUGAGACACGGUCCAGACUCCUAAGGGAGGCAGCAGUAGGGAAUCUUACGCAAUGGGCGCAAGCCUGACGGAGCAACGCCGCGUGAGUGAUGAAGGUCUUCGGAUCGUAAAACUCUGUUAUUAGGGAAGAACAUAUGUGUAAGUAACUGUGCACAUCGUGACGGUACCUAAUCAGAAAGCAACGGCUAACUACGUG